rnacentral:rRNA from 1 species
AAUCAACGCUGGCGGCGUGCCUAACACAUGCAAGUCGAACGAGAAAGUGGAGCAAUCCAUGAGUAAAGUGGCGACCGGGUGAGUAACACGUGACUAACCUACCUUCGAGUGGGGGAUAACCUCGGGAAACCGAGGCUAAUACCGCAUAACAUCGCAAGAUCAAAGCAGCAAUGCGCUGGAAGAGGGGGUCGCGGCUGAUUAGCUAGUUGGCGGGGUAACGGCCCACCAAGGCGAAGAUCGGUAGCCGGCCUGAGAGGGCGCACGGCCACACUGGAACUGAAACACGGUCCAGACUCCUACGGGAGGCAGCAGUGGGGAAUUUUGCGCAAUGGGGGAAACCCUGACGCAGCAACGCCGCGUGGAGGAUGAAGCCCCUUGGGGCGUAAACUCCUUUCGACCAAGACGAUAAU